UAUCUGUCUCACCAUUAUCAAGCUACAAGUUACAUGCACCUAAUUACGGUAGGUAGGAUCUACACAGACUUUACCUCUACCUUUGCAGGAUAGAGAGACUGUUUCCGAUAAGAGAUUAUUUCCAUGCACAAGAAGCAACUAAAUCUCGAUUCAUCCAGCCAAGAUAGAGCGCGCCAUUUCUCUCAUUAAGCGUAUAACUUUGGUAGUAAUUCUCCAGCAGGGUCUUGAUAGUAGCAUUUACUGAGGAGCUUAACGGAUAUGGUUUAAACCCGGCCACAGCAAAUCGUGAUCUCCACCUUUCAAGCAGCUCGUGUCGUUCCACUCUCUCUGCCCCUUCACAUGCUAAUAUGUUGACAAUUUCACGGGCUAAGCAGUGUUGCUCAACGUUGAUUCGUUCCUUAUGGUCUCUAGGUAGAGCCACGUCUAUUGAUUCGAAAACAGAUAGGUAGUAGUUCAGUGUCUCCAAGAACCUGGGGAAGAAUUGGGCUGUGUUAGUGUUGGACUCUUGCUCCACUAAGGUAACAAUCUUGGGAGAUAAGCUUUUAACCAUCCUCAGAAGUCUGUCUCUGUGAUUUUGAGUUCCAACGCUCUCAUCAGGCAUAUGGUGCAAGACGAGCGCAAAGUUAACAGCCAAUGGUUCCCCGGGAAGAACCUUAAGAUGCUCAAUCUCAAUAUCUGGACAAGAAGCAGACACGGGAUGAAAUUCGAAAGGUACAUUGCAAGAUGCAGCAAUGCUUGACAGUCUUCGACCUACGAUUUCAAUCCCUCCUCCUCUGGCGUAAGCUGAUGUAGAGUCAUCAAUCCCUGUGAUGCGGAUUCUUGGAGGUCCACCAGGCCGUGCUGCAAGAGCAUGGAUUAAGGUGAUCCACUGGCUACCCUGAGCAAUCUGGAAAUCGAUUAUAUGAAUUGAGUUCUCAUCUUUCAUGGCAUCAACAAUUGCACCAUUUGCUGACAAAUAUCCAAACUUGAAGUAUGGACAGAUUUCAUAAAGCAAGUGCAUGUACGAGAAUAGCUCGACACUAGUAGGCUCUUUGCACCUUAAGGCCUUGUAGAUGGAGCUUCCCGAGGAGGCCAAUCUAGCAACUAAACCUUCCAGCAUAUAAGCACCUAAACGUUGUAUGGGAGACCCACAAACAGAUACCACCGUGCGUAGUUCUGACAUUAACCAUUCAGCUGUGAUCAAAUUAUUCUCCGCUAUUGCUUUAGCACAAGCAAUUAGAACUUCUUUCAAGUCUCCGCUAGGCAUCAUCUCCAUCAUUCCAACCAAUUUAUCCGACUCUGAUGGAACUUGAUUGGCUGCAGUCACAGGGAUAGUAUUAUUAAAUGAUUCCAAGCUUUCUGAAUCUGGCCCCAGCAUUGCAGUUUCAAGUUCCCUUAACUUGUGCUUCAGGUCAGUAACAUCACUAGUGUAGCACGAACUGUUACCCGACGACUGAAAUGUAUCAUCAGGAGAAUGAUGCAUGUCUGAACGACACGAAUCAGAACCUUGGUUCAUCAUGGGGUUGAAAUUAACAAUAGGAGGUGAAUCAGAAACAAGUUCACUAGAAUUUCCCGCGGAUGAUUCAACAUAACAGUGUUGGGCGGGUUUUAAGGCAGAGACAUCAGCAUAGAACGAUUGGUUGUUGUUCGGAUUGUUAACGGAAGGCAGGAAAUAGGAUUCUUGAUACUCUAUGGGUUGGUUAUAGAAUUUGUUGAACUCGUUGAUUUCCUCAGGGUUCUGAGAAGG
rnacentral:misc_RNA from 1 species